ensembl:lncRNA
CUUAAGAUAACGUGGGACAAUCAGCUUAACAUGGGGCAAAGUACGUGUCAAUCAUAAUACUGAAUAUUUAACUAAUUUUAGAAUUUAAAACUAAAUGCUUUCACCUGAAUGACCUCAUUUAAUUCUCAUGAAAUUAUACGAGAUAAAAUUCAGUAUCCUCUGUUACAGAUGAAGCAGCUCAGGCUGUGCAAACGUGAGUCUCCCCCAGUCCCCACCCCCACCCCACCCCCGGCCAGUGGCAGAACUGGAGCUUGAAUGAGGGGAUUGGAUAAAAAUAUCAACUACAUGGACGAUGUGUAACACGACACACCUAUUUCAUGUGGCUCUACAGCACUGUCUUGGCGCUUUUUUGCAGCUUAUACCUGACAGCAAGAAGAGAUGACAAAGAGGAAGAGCUGACACCAUGUGGCACAUGGGUCAGGCACACAAGCAGCCGGAGGCACCUGUCACCACCCAAUACCUGUAACCCACCUGUAACCCCAUUGCCGGGACAUUCCAACUUAAUGAUGUGGAAAGAGCCCCCUGGUGCAGUGUUGGCGGCGGCGCACAGUCGUGAGGAGUACAUGUGCAAGGGCCCGGAAGCCGUUGUUAUAGUACCUGGAGUAUCAUUGACCCUCAGAGGCUUCCUCACCUACCUUGUCUCUCCUCCCGGGGAAGAUUGGUCCAAGUGCCUGUCUCACAAAGUGUCCAGAGCAGCACCCCUCACAUGCAAGGCACUGGGGCAUCCUCUGUCUUGUCCCCGCCGGACGCUCCUAGUAAAUGUAGGUACGGCAGGCUGUCCACACGACGUAGGAAGAAAAGCCGCUCCUGAGUGCAAAUCAGAGCAGCCACUGUGGAAAACAGUACGGAGGUUCCUCAAAGAUCAGAAAUAGAGCUGCCCUACAAUCUCGUAAUUCCACUUCUGGGUAUUUACAUGAAGAACAUGAAAAUAUUAAUUCAAAAAGAUGCAUGUACCCCUACAUCUACUGCAGCAUUAUUUACAAUAGACAAGAUAAGCAACCAACCCACCUGUCCAUCCACAGAUGAAUGCAUAAAGCUGUGAUACACACACACACACACACACACACACACACACACAGUGGAGUAUCACUCAGCCAUCAAAAAGAAUGAGAUCCUGCCAUUUAUGAGCACUUAUGUUAAGUGAAAUAAGUCAGAGACAAAUACUUUACUAUUUCACUCAUAUGGAAUCUAAAAAACAAAACAAACAGAACAGGAACAGACUCCUAGACACAGAACAAAGUGGUGGUUGCCAGAGGAGGGUGAGGUGGGGAGACAGAGGACAGGGGUGAAGAGGAUGAAGAGGUACAAACUUCCAGUUAUAAAGUAAAAAGUCACAGGGAUGAAACAUAUAGCACAGGGAUAUGGUCAAUAAUAUUGUAAUCACUUUGUAUGGUGACAGGAGGGGACUGCACUUACCUUGGUGAGCCCUUGAGAAUGCACACAGUGUUGAAACACUAUGUUGUCCAUCUGAAACUAGUAUGUCAACUAUGCUCCAAUAAAAAAUAAAAAUUAAAAAGUCA